AUUAUAAAUUUAAUUAUUAUUAUUGAUUUUUUAAAGUAUUAUUUUAUUUAUUAUUAUAAAAGAAAAAUUAAUUUUUUAUUAUAGUUUACUAGUAAAGUGAUUGAAUUUAUUUAUAUAUUAAUAAGAAAAAUUUAUUUUUUGUACCUUGUGUAUCAGGGUUGAUUAAUUUUAUAAUUAUUAUUAAUUUUUCUCGAAUUAAGAAGAGCUAAUUAUGUAUAUGUUUAAUUUUUUCAUAAAUUUUCAUAAUAUAUAAUUUGAAAUGAAAUGUUAUUCGUUUCUUAAUAUAUCUAGUUUUUUAAGAAAAGAAUUUAAUUCUCUUAUUAUUUAUUAUUAGUUAAUUUUUAGUUAAUAAUUUUUAGUAUGAAAUAAAUAAAGGGAUAAGCUUUUAUUUUAAUAAUUAAAAAUUUAUUUGGUUUUAUUUUUUGUAUAAUUUAAAUUGUUAAUCAUUUUUAUAAUAUAAUAGUUAAUUUUAUUUAAUUAAUGAUUUAUAUUUAUUUUAAUUUUUUUAUUAAAAAUUUAUGUUUAAUUUUUUAGCUUUUUUAUAAUGAUUAAAUUAGUAGAUAAAUAUGUAUUUUAUUAUUUAUUUUUAAGAUAAUAAAAAGGAACUCGGCAAAUAAAUUUUUCGCCUGUUUAUUAAAAACAUGUCUUUUUGAUUAUAAUUUAAGGUUUAAUCUGCUCAAUGAUUUAUUAAAUUGCCGCAGUAUUUUGACUGUGCAAAGGUAGCAUAAUAAUUAGCUUUUUUAUUGAGAGCUGGAAUGAAUGAUUGGACGAAAAAAUUUCUGUCUCUUUAUUAUUUAUUAUUUAAUUUUACUUUUAAGUUAAAAGGCUUAAAUUUUUUUAAAAGACGAGAAGACCCUAUAGAGUUUUAUUUUUAUUUUUUGAUUAAUUUUUAGAAUUUAAAAUAUUUUAUCAAAUAAAAAAUUUAGUUGGGGUGACUGAAAGAUUAAUUAAACUCUUUUAAUUGAAAUCAUUUAUUUAUGAAUAGAGAAAUUAUUUUUAUAAAUUUAAAAUAAAUUACCUUAGGGAUAACAGCGUUAUUUUUCUUUAGAGUUCUUAUUGAAAGGAAAGAUUGCGACCUCGAUGUUGGAUUAAAAUUUAUUUUUGGUGUAGAAGCUUAAAUAUUAAGUCUGUUCGACUUUUAAAAUUUUACAUGAUCUGAGUUUAAACCGGUGUAAGCCAGGUUGGUUUCUAUCUUUAAAUUUUUAAUAUAUUUUAGUACGAAAGGACCAAAUAUAUAAUAUAUUAUUUUAUUUUGAAUAAUAUU
rnacentral:rRNA from 1 species